rnacentral:rRNA from 1 species
UACGUAGGGUGCAAGCGUUAAUCGGAAUUACUGGGCGUAAAGCGUGCGCAGGCGGCUAUGCAAGACAGAUGUGAAAUCCCCCGGGCUCAACCUGGGAACUGCAUUUGUGACUGCAUGGCUAGAGUGCGGCAGAGGGGGGAUGGAAUUCCGCGUGUAGCAGUGAAAUGCAUAGAUAUGCGGAGGAACACCGAUGCGAAGGCAAUCCCCCUGGGGCCUGCAC